rnacentral:rRNA from 1 species
CCUACGGGGGGCAGCAGUGGGGAAUCUUCCGCAAUGGGCGCAAGCCUGACGGAGCAACGCCGCGUGAGUGAUGAAGGUUUUCGGAUUGUAAAACUCUGUCCAAAGGGAAGAAACAAAUGACGGUACCUUUGGAGGAAGCCCCGGCUAACUACGUGCCAGCAGCCGCGGUAAAACGUAGGGGGCGAGCGUUGUCCGGAAUUACUGGGCGUAAAGGGCGUGUAGGCGGCUUGCGCAAGUCAGUCGUGAAACCUAUCGGCUUAACCGGUAGCUGUCGAUUGAAACUGUCGGGCUUGAGUGCAGAAGAGGGGAGUGGAAUUCCCAGUGUAGCGGUGAAAUGCGUAGAUAUUGGGAGGAACACCAGUGGCGAAAGCGGCUCCCUGGCCUGUAACUGACGCUGAGGCGCGAAAGCGUGGGUAGCAAACAGGAUUAGAUACCCCAGU